rnacentral:rRNA from 1 species
GUGGGGAAUAUUGGACAAUGGGGGCAACCCUGAUCCAGCCAUGCCGCGUGUGUGAAGAAGGCCUUAGGGUUGUAAAGCACUUUCAGUGGGGAGGAAGGCUUUGGGCUAAUACCCUGGAGUACUUGACGUUACCCACAGAAGAAGCACCGGCUAAUUUCGUGCCAGCAGCCGCGGUAAUACGAAAGGUGCGAGCGUUAAUCGGAAUUACUGGGCGUAAAGCGCGCGUAGGCGGUUUGUUAAGUCUGAUGUGAAAGCCCCGGGCUCAACCUGGGAACUGCCUCCAAAACUGCAUGACUAGAGUACGGUAGAGGGUAGUGGAAUUUCCUGUGUAGCGGUGAAAUGCGUAGAUAUAGGAAGGAACACCAGUGGCGAAGGCGACUACCUGGACUGAUACUGACACUGAGGUGCGAAAGCGUGGGGAGCAAACAGGAUUAGAUACCCGAGUAGUCC